AUGGCCGCUCCGACGCGCCCGCGCGGGCUCGCCGCCACCAGCAGGGCGGCGCUCGCGCUCCUCGUCCUCCUCGCCGUCGCCGCGCCUCGGUGCCGCGUCGCGCGCGCGCAGCAGCAGUACGAGGCCAACAAGCAACUCAACUGCUACGGCACCAACGACAGCUCCGUGCUCGGCUACACCUGCAACGCCACCGCCGCGGCCCGUCCCUGCGCCUCCUACGUCGUCUUCCGCUCCUCCCCGCCCUACGACUCGCCCAUCUCCAUCUCCUACCUCCUCAACACCACCCCCGCCGUCCUCGCGGACGCCAACGCCGUGCCCACUGUCUCCCCGGUCGCCGCCUCCCGCCUCGUCCUCGCGCCGCUCAACUGCGGCUGCGCGCCCGGCGGCUACUACCAGCACAACACGUCCUAUACCAUCCAGUUCAGCAACGAGACCUACUUCAUCACCGCCAACAUCACCUACCAGGGCCUCACCACCUGCCAGGCGCUCAUCGCGCAGAACCCCAACCACGAUAGCCGCAAACUCGUCGUCGGGAACAACCUCACCGUGCCGCUCCGCUGCGCUUGCCCCUCGCCGGCGCAGGCCGCCUCCGGGGUCAGGCACCUGCUCACCUACCUCGUCACAUGGGGCGACGCCAUCGCCGACAUCGCCGCCCGCUUCCGCGUCGACGCCCAGGCGGUGCUCCGCGCCAACAACCUAACCGACAGCGAGAACAUAUACCCCUUCACCACUCUGCUCAUCCCGCUCAAGAGCGCGCCCACGCCGGACAUGCUCGUGUCGCCGGCGCCACCGCCAGCACCGGCGCCACCGCAGGCCCAGCAGCCGCCGCCGUCUGGAGGGUCGGGCAGCGGGAAGGGGGUUGCUGUCGGGGUCGGUGUUGGUGUCGGCGUUCUUGCGCUGGCGGGACUUCUUGGCCUGAUGUUCUUAUGUGUCCGGCGGCGGCGGCGACCGCGGCCCGGCGUUGUGGAAGACGGCCAUCCGGGGAAGGGCGUUCUCGACGUGCCCUCGUCUGCCGAUUACGACCCUCUUGCCUCGGGCAAGCAUACGUCCUCGGCUACGACGAACUCCUCGUCAUCGUCGGCGUUUGUGUCCACCGACGCGCGCGCGGCGGUGGAGUCCCUGACCGUGUACAAGUACUCGGAACUCGAGAAGGCGACGGCAGGGUUCUCGGAGGACCGGAGGGUCAAGGACGCGUCCGUGUACCGCGCGGUGAUCAACGGCGACGCGGCGGCCGUGAAGCGUGUGGCUGGCGAUGUGAGCGGCGAGGCGGGCAUCCUGAAGCGCGUGAACCACUCCAGCCUCGUCCGCCUCUCCGGUCUCUGCGUCCACCACGGCGACACCUACCUCGUCUUCGAGUUCGCGGAGAACGGCGCGCUCAGCAACUGGCUCCACGGCGGCGGCGAAACCCUCGUGUGGAAGCAGCGUGUGCAGGCGGCGUUUGACGUCGCCGACGGUCUCAAUUACCUCCACCACUACAGCAACCCGCCGUGCGUGCACAAGAACCUCAAGAGCAGCAACGUCCUCCUCGACGCCGACCUCCGCGCCAAGGUGUCAAGCUUCGCGCUGGCGCGGUCGGUCCCCACGGGCGUUGAUGGCGGCGACGCGCAGCUCACCCGCCACGUCGUGGGCACCCAGGGGUACCUGGCCCCGGAGUACCUGGAGCACGGCCUCAUCACCCCCAAGCUCGACGUUUUCGCCUUCGGCGUCAUCCUCCUCGAGCUGUUGUCCGGAAAGGAGGCAACGUUCGACGGCGGCGCCAAAAGAGGGGAGACGCUGCUGUGGGAGUCCGCGGAGGGGCUGGUUGUCGACGGCGAGGACGCGCGUGGCAAGGUGCGGGCAUUCAUGGACCCGCGGCUGAACGGCGACUACCCGCUGGACCUCGCCGUGGCUGUGGGGUCGCUGGCGGUGCGGUGCGUGGCGAGGGAGCCCAGGGGGCGGCCGUCCAUGGACGAGGUGUUCGUGACGCUGUCGGCGGUGUACAACUCCACGCUGGAUUGGGAUCCCUCGGAUUACAGCAACUCCCGCUCUUCGAUCGUCGGGAGAUAG
rnacentral:rRNA from 1 species